CGGAAAAAAGGUAAGCCUAUAGCCAUUACACUGUCGGCCCAACCAGGUCCAAUUAGUUCCCUGAAAAGCGCUGGUUCCGCGUGUACAGCACUUUCCCUGCUAAUGCCUGAGCAUUAUGCUCAGCCAUAUGCCAAUUUACGCGAUGAAUAAAUGGAUGUGCGCAAAUUGGCUUUUCCGGAAAAAAGGUAAGCCUAUAGCCAUUACACUGUCGGCCCAACCAGGUCCAAUUAGUUCCCUGAAAAGCGCUGGUUCCGCGUGUACAGCAC
rnacentral:lncRNA from 1 species